rnacentral:lncRNA from 1 species
GGCAUUUUGUAGUAAAACAGAUAAUUGGUGUUACGAAGGACAAUAAUAGCACAGAAUGACAACACAUUUCCCUUUUCUUUAUUUUGUAGGAUUUUACCUACAUGAUAUUGGUUAAACCUUUAAAUCAUACAAUAAUCCAAACCAUUUUGAAAUGAACCUACUACAGGCAGUGGAGUACAUACCGGGAUCGCAGCUGCGACUGGUCCCGGCCGCCCUGCGACCCGGUAUGUACCCACUGUAGCCAGACUCUUCUCCUGGGGGGCCCAGGAGCCGGCCACCUCAGGGCCCCCCGAGGCUGGCCCUGGUGUCACCCGGCUGGCGGGCACGCGAGGGAGCACUCUCCCCAGUGUGCUCCCUCUUCAGCUCCCUCGCGCACUGCACUGAUACAGAGCCGGAAGAUGACAUUAUCUUCCAGCUCUGGUAUCAGUACGCGGCACGCGAGGGAGCUGAAGAGGGAGCUGAAGAGGGAGCACCACUGGAUCCCAGGGAAUCCCCUCAGCACUCCCAAAGGUAAGGAGGCAGAGGGGAUUAAAAAAAACGUGUGUGCGUGUCAGUGAGUGUGUUAGUGAGUGUGUAUGUAUGUCUGUCACUGAGUGUGUCUGUCAGUAAAUGUGUGUGUCUGUUUGCUAGUGUGUAUGCGUCUGUUCAUGAGAGUGUUUGUGUAUCUUAAGCACUUACCUUUCUCCAGCGCCAGACUCCCUUGGCGCUGGGGAUCUCUCCACCCCGAUCUGCCUCUCAGCUCAGAAUGCGCAUGCGUGGCAAGAGCCGCGCGCAUUCAAACCGCCCAUAGGAAAGCAUUACUCAAUGCUUUCCUAUGGACGUUCAGCAUCUUCUCGCUGCGAUUUUCACAGUGAGAAUCGCAGAAGCUCCUCUAGUGGCUGUCAAUGAGACAGCCACUAGAGGCUGGAUUAACCCUCAGUGAAACAUAGCAGUUUCUCUGAAACUGCUAUGUUUUCAGCUGCAGGAUUAAAACUAGAGGGACCUGGCAUCCAGACCACUACAUUGAGCUGAUGUGAUCUGGGUGUCUGUAGUGGUCCUUUAAGUGUAUGUGUAUCUGCAUGCACUGGCGUACAUACUGCAGUCGCAGGGGUCGCAGCUGGGAGGGGAGGGGCCACGGAUCAGUUUUCGCACCGGGGCCCCAUGGGUUGUGUGACAACAGGUAUUUCCCAACUUUACGAACUAAUUGGUUCCGAAGACUCGUUCAUAAAGUGAGAACCAAUUUACCAUAGACACAAUGUAAUAAACAUGGGUUCCUGAUCAACAAAUGUUACCAUUGAAAACCUUAAUUAUGAAGUAAAAAUACUAAAUAUAAGAUAAGCAUAGCAAAUACACAUGUUGUAGGAACGUUAAAGGAAUACAUUCUGUAUUGAAAUCUUAAUUAAAUGCUCAUCAAUCCUCAUACUCUUUAAUAAAGAGACAUGCUGAACUUUUAAAAUGGGGCACCUCUCCCCAUUUUCACUUUCUUCUUUAACAACUUCCCCUUGUCCUUUAUCCCUUUUCCUUUUUUUUUUUUUUUUUUUACACUGCUCUCCUCAAACACUCUUCCUUCUCCUCUCUUACUUUCAAGCUUGCAUCUUUUAUAGCACUUUUCUUUUACUUGUUUUAUUUUUAACUCUAAGACGCUCUUCCUUCUCCCCGUUCUUGAGGCUCUUCAGCUCUUCUCCUGCUCCUCACUGAUGAUGCCUGCCAACAGAUGGCACAAUGGCAAACACACACAAAGACAGCAAUGUCAGAAACACUAAGAGAAAUCAAAUAAAAUCUCUUCUCAAUAGUACACAAUAGUGCAAUAAUAUUACAGGUAUGCCCAAGAAAGUGCAGUAAGACUACAGAACAGUCUAAACACGUUUUUUAGACUUGCCUAUAUCUUCAGGAACGGUGUGUCAGGAUUACAGUAUGAUCCAGCACGUAGAAUUGUGUAACACAGAGGACUGAUAGGUAACGUAUACCGGACCUUAGAAUGGCCGGACUAACGUACCAAAGAAUAGCCAGAAAUAGCCAAGGUCAAGGGAAACAGAAAGAGAGACAACGAUAAGGAAAAGCCAGGGGUCACGGAUGCCAGAAAACAGGGAAGUCAAUAUCAAUGCCAAAGUCAAAUAACCAGAAAAAACAGAAUCAAUAACGUGCUCUCGGACAACUACAAGGGAAAACACGACAGGGCACAGAGCAAGAGGAGAGCUGGGCCGAAAACCCCCGCCUGUGGAUCUGAUUGGUUGUAACCGGCCUUUGACCCCCAAAUGCAGUUACCAGGAUCCUAUUUACAUGAUUGCUGCUCAGUACAAACCCUCCUGUGGAUUGAUUGCUGCUUGGCACAACUUUUCCUGUCUGAACAGUAAAUGCCAUUAAUCACAUUUUUAUGUGCAGAUGAAUACGUGACACUGUGUUCCUGAUCCUCUUCUUGUCAACUCCUGGCCACAAAUUAUUAUUUUUCUCUUCUUGUUUGUGCUCAGAAGCAAACUUCCUGGUCCUGAUCCAUGGAUCGCUGACACAAAAUGGCGGUGAAACAAAAUGGCGGCGCAUUCAGGAAAAAGUUCAUAAAGGAGGGAGUUCAUAAAGUGAGAAAUGCCUGUAUUUUAGAAUUCAGAGAUUGUAUCAUAUGAGAACCUCAAUGUAUCCAAGUAACUGUGUUUCAGCCAGUCUGGAAAUUACAGCAUGAGCAAAAAAUGCCUACAUUAUAAAACAGUUUCCAACUAAGCAAUGCACACUGCUUUUUAUGCACAGUUGGCUGAUUUUAAUGCUGUAACUAAGCAGGUAUUAUGUAUCAGUUGCCCCUUUAAUUUGGAGUGCUAAAACUGGUUGGACAACAUUUGGUUACAAACAAUUGUUGGUUCAGAAGCUUAAAUGUUGUCAAGGCUCAUAAUCUUACUAAAGUUCAGAAAUAGCUUAAAGGAACACUAUAGUCACCUAAACAACUUUAGCUUAAUGAAGCAGUUUUAGUGUAUAGAUCAUGCCUCUCAGGUUUUACUGAUCAAUGCACUGCCAUUUAGGAGUUAAAUCACUUUGUUUCUUGUCACACCUCCCCUGGCUAUGAUUGAGACAGCCUGCAUGAAAAAAAACAAACUGGUUUUACUUUCAAUCAGAUGUACUUUACCUUAAACAAUUGUAUCUCUUGCUCUGUAAAUUAAACUUUAAGCACAUACAGGAGGGUCUUGCAGGAUCUAGCAAGC